AUUGAACGCUGGCGGCAGGCCUAACACACGCAAGUCGAGCGGAUGACGGGAGCUUGCUCCUUGAUUCAGCGGCGGACGGGUGAGUAAUGCCUAGGAAUCUGCCUGGUAGUGGGGGACAACGUUUCGAAAGGAACGCUAAUACCGCAUACGUCCUACGAGAGAAAGCAGGGGACCUUCGGGCCUUGCGCUAUCAGAUGAGCCUAGGUCGGAUUAGCUAGUUGGUGGGGUAAUGGCUCACCAAGGCGACGAUCCGUAACUGGUCUGAGAGGAUGAUCAGUCACACUGGAACUGAGACACGGUCCAGACUCCUACGGGAGGCAGCAGUGGGGAAUAUUGGACAAUGGGCGAAAGCCUGAUCCAGCCAUGCCGCGUGCGUGAAGAAGGUCUUCGGAUUGUAAAGCACUUUAAGAUGGGAGGAAGGGCAGUAAGCUAAUACCUUGCUGUUUUGACGUUACCGACAGAAUAAGCACCGGCUAACUCUGUGCCAGCCGCCGCGGUAA
rnacentral:rRNA from 1 species